rnacentral:rRNA from 1 species
UGUUGACCUCGGAUCAGGUAGGAAUACCCGCUGAACUUAAGCAUAUCAAUAAG